rnacentral:rRNA from 1 species
GAAUUUUUGGCAAUGGGGGCAACCCUGACCAAGCAACGCCGCGUGGAUGAUGAAGUAUCUCGGUACGUAAAAUCCUUUCGACAGGGACGAAAGCCGCAAGGUCUGACGGUACCUGUAGAAGAAGCCCCGGCUAACUCCGUGCCAGCCGCCGCGGUAAUACGGGGGGGGCAAGCGUUGUUCGGAAUUACUGGGCGUAAAGGGCGCGUAGGCGGUUCGCUAAGUUGGAUGUGAAAACUCUGGGCUUAACCCAGAGCCUGCAUCCAAAACUGGCAGGCUAGAGUUUUGGAGGGGGAAGCGGAAUUCCUGGUGUAGCAGUGAAAUGCGUAGAUAUCAGGAGGAACACCGGUGGCGAAGGCGGCUUCCUGGACAAAAACUGACGCUGAGGCGCGAAAGCUAGGGGAGCAAACAGG